AUUGAACGCUAGCGGGAUGCCUUACACAUGCAAGUCGAACGAGUGGCGAACGGGUGAGUAAUGUAUCGGAACGUGCCUGAUGGAGGGGGAUAACUACCGGAAACAGUAGCUAAUACCGCAUAUCAUCAAAUGUGCCAAGAUGGGAUUAACUAGUUGGGGGGGUAAUGGCUCACCUAGGCGACGAUCCCUAGCUGGUUUGAGAGGAUGACCAGCCACACUGGGACUGAGACACGGUCCAGACUCCUACGGGAGGCAGCAGUGGGGAAUAUUGCACAAUGGGCGCAAGCCUGAUGCAGCCAUGCCGCGUGUGUGAAGAAGGCCUUCGGGUUGUAAAGCACUUUCAGCGAGGAGGCGUUACUCGCAGAAGAAGCACCGGCUAACUCCGUGCCAGCAGCCGCGGUAAUUC
rnacentral:rRNA from 1 species